GAUGAACGCUGGCGGCGUGCCUAAUACAUGCAAGUCGAGCGAACGGACGAGAAGCUUGCUUCUCUGAUGUUAGCGGCGGACGGGUGAGUAACACGUGGAUAACCUACCUAUAAGACUGGGAUAACUUCGGGAAACCGGAGCUAAUACCGGAUAAUAUUUUGAACCGCAUGGUUCAAAAGUAAAAGACGGUCUUGCUGUCACUUAUAGAUGGAUCCGCGCUGCAUUAGCUAGUUGGUAAGGUAACGGCUUACCAAGGCAACGAUGCAUAGCCGACCUGAGAGGGUGAUCGGCCACACUGGAACUGAGACACGGUCCAGACUCCUACGGGAGGCAGCAGUAGGGAAUCUUCCGCAAUGGGCGAAAGCCUGACGGAGCAACGCCGCGUGAGUGAUGAAGGUCUUCGGGUCGUAAAACUCUGUUAUUAGGGAAGAACAUAUGUGUAAGUAACUGUGCACAUCUUGACGUUACCUAAUCAGAAAGCCACGGCUAACUACGUG
rnacentral:rRNA from 1 species